GCGAGGGUGGCUGAGCUUGGCCAAAGGCGGCGGACUUAAGAUCCGCUCCCUCAGGGGUUCAAGGGUUCAAAUCCCUUCCCUCGCA
rfam:Halobaculum gomorrense strain DSM 9297 genome assembly, contig: Ga0131215_102